UACGUAGGUGGCAAGCGUUGUCCGGAAUUAUUGGGCGUAAAGCGCGCGCAGGUGGUUCUUUAAGUCUGAUGUGAAAGCCCACGGCUCAACCGUGGAGGGUCAUUGGAAACUGGGGAACUUGAGUGCAGAAGAGGAAAGUGGAAUUCCAAGUGUAGCGGUGAAAUGCGUAGAGAUUUGGAGGAACACCAGUGGCGAAGGCGACUUUCUGGUCUGUAACUGACACUGAGGCGCGAAAGCGUGGGGAGCGAACAGG
rnacentral:ncRNA from 2 species